rnacentral:rRNA from 1 species
CCUACUGGUGGCUGCAGUGGGGAAUAUUGGACAAUGGGCGAAAGCCUGAUCCAGCCAUGCCGCGUGUGUGAAGAAGGCCUUCGGGUUGUAAAGCACUUUCAGUGGGGAAGAAAGCCUUGGGGCUAAUACCCUCGAGGAAGGACAUCACCCACAGAAGAAGCACCGGCUAACUCCGUGCCAGCAGCCGCGGUAAUACGGAGGGUGCGAGCGUUAAUCGGAAUUACUGGGCGUAAAGCGCGCGUAGGCGGUCUGAUAAGCCGGUUGUGAAAGCCCCGGGCUCAACCUGGGAACGGCAUCCGGAACUGUCAGGCUAGAGUGCAGGAGAGGAAGGUAGAAUUCCCGGUGUAGCGGUGAAAUGCGUAGAGAUCGGGAGGAAUACCAGUGGCGAAGGCGGUCUUCUGGACUGACACUGACGCUGAGGUGCGAAAGCGUGGGUAGCAAACAGGAUUAGAUACCCUUGUAGUC